UACCAGACUCCUACGGGAGGCAGCAGUGGGGAAUAUUGGGCAAUGGGCGAAAGCCUGACCCAGCAAUGCCGCGUGAAUGAAGAAGGUCUUAGGAUUGUAAAAUUCUGUCCUAUGGGAAGAAACAAAUGACGGUACCAUAGGAGGAAGCACCGGCUAACUCCGUGCCAGCAGCCGCGGUAAUACGGAGGGUGCGAGCGUUAAUCGGAAUUACUGGGCGUAAAGCGCUCGUAGGCGGUAUGUCAAGUCAAGGGUGAAAUCCCCGCGCUCAACGUGGGAACUGCCUUUGAAACUGGCAAACUGGGGUGUGUGAGAGGAUAGUGGAAUUCCAGGUGUAGGAGUGAAAUCCGUAGAUAUCUGGAGGAACAUCAGUGGCGAAGGCGACUAUCUGGCACAUAACUGACGCUGAGGAGCGAAAGCGUGGGUAGCAAACAGGAUUAGAUACCCCAGUA
rnacentral:rRNA from 1 species